rnacentral:misc_RNA from 1 species
CUUUUUCUCCUUAUUGAAAAACCCUCUAAGAGCUUCCAAAAAGCGUGAGUAAAGCAUUUUGAUUUAGUCACGAUGAGAAGAGUUAAUGGACUCGCCACCCUGACUCGAAACAUUGCCGCAGCCUCCUCCGCCGCUGCAGGCGCGACGUCUCGGCACCUUUUGGUUCAAGCCGCAAUGAUGAGCACUUGGUCAUGUACGAAUUCCUCGCAGAGAAUUGCCGAUCGUUUUGGAAUAUCAAACCCCUCUGUUGCGAGUGGUGUCGCAGGGACCAUGUUCUUCUCUGUUGCGGCAUCGUCUCUGGAGCAAGAGGUACACGCGAAGGAGCCACCACCUGCCGAGAAAUUCCUCCCUAAGGAUGUCGUCCUCUAUCAAUACGAAGCUUGCCCUUUCUGCAACAAGGUUAAAGGUAUCUUUCAAUGUCAGUUACGAUGCUUUUGAAUUUUGUUCGGCGGAAUUUUACAUUUACAUGUAUGUACGGGUGUUUGUGAUUGAUUAUGAGGCACUUGCUCUUCGGUAUUGUUUUCUCGCGAAGUGAAUUUAGUGUGAGCUAUCAUAAAUUAGUAUCCAAACAAAUUUAGAAAAGAACAGGUCGAACCAUCGGAAAUGGAGAACUAGUUAACUUUGUGAUUGCUUGUUGAGAAAUUGGCUUCUUUUCCAUCAGCUGUUAGUAAAAUGAGUUUUGAUCUACUUAUUAUUAUUAUUAUUAUUUCUUCUCUCUCUCAGAGAAGCAAUGCCAUGAAACAAAUGCUUGAAGAUGUCAAAUGCUUGGAGAUGUUUACUUGUGAAGCUACUUGGAAGGCAUGAUGUUAUUUUCCAUAUAUAGUAAUUUUUUUACCAAGAUGAAUGAAGGCUUAAAAGGUUUCUUCUGGAAUUGAUUUUACUGAAACCCAUUGAAGGGCUUGGUUGGUUGUUUUAACUGGAAGUUAGAUUCUUUAUGUCUGUUGUACCCCUUCUCUUAGCUUUUUUAAUUUGAAACUUUAAUGAAUUUUUUAUCUGUCAUUUGUUCUUAUUGUCUCAGCAUUCUUGGAUUAUUACAAUAUUCCAUACAAAGUAGUAGAAGUCAACCCAAUCAGUAAGAAGGAGAUCAAGUGGUCCGAUUACAAGAAGGUGCCUAUACUAACAGUUGAUGGAGAACAGAUGGUUGAUUCUUCAGGUUCCUAGCUAUUCAUGUAUAUUUUGUUUUUGUUCCAAAUUUGGCUGGUUAGACCAAUGAUUUUAUUAUGAUUUUGAAAGAGAAUGAUCAUAAAAUUUGUUUGUUAUUUUUUGUAAUUGUUCUUGAAAAGCUGCAUGUUCUAUGGCACAGACAUAAUUGACAAGUUGCUCCAAAGGAUUCAUCCAGAUAAUUCUAUUACAAGUGCUGAUGAAGAAAGCAAGUGGCGGGGGUAUGAUUGCAUCUCCUGCAUUCUAAUUUUCCGGCUUUUUGUAAUUCCUUGAGAUCUUCAUUCUUCACAGAGUUAAUUCAUUCCUGCAAAUCAGUUAUUUGCUCACUGAUAGUUAUUUAAAUGGAAACCAUGCCAUUGUACUUCUAUAAAUUGUUUUUCCCAUUAUUUUAAAAUUUGUGAUAUCAAGGUGGUCUUAGCACAUUUCUCUAUAUGUUGGAUGCAGGUGGGUGGAUAAUCAUCUAGUGCAUGUUUUAUCACCAAACAUUUACCGAACUACUUCUGAGGCUCUUGAAUCGUUUGACUACAUCACCACACAUGGUAAGAUACUAGGACUAAUUUAUUCUCAGUAUAUUUUUAGUUAACUUCACGUACUCUUUGCUUGAUCUUUUACUUGGUAGUGUGUGUGGAGUUACGGUUAUGUUUUAACAGGUUUUUGCCUUUUAACAUGCCUGUUUGCAUAUGUGCUUGGCUGGUCUUUUAAUAAUAUAAUUUAUUUUGAUUUUUGAACCAUUUAUUGCAAGUGGAUGCUAAGCAUCACAUUUUGACAACCACCUUAUCUUUGUGGUACCCCCCUGUAUAUUAGGCAAUUUCAGCUUCACAGAGAGGUUGGUAGCUAAGUAUGCUGGAGCUGCAGCAAUGUAUUUUGUGUCAAAGAAACUGAAGAAGAGACAUAACAUCACGGAUGAACGUGCAGCCUUGUAUGAUGCUGCAGAAACAUGGGUAGAUGCCUUGGAGGGUCGAGAAUAUCUAGGUGGCUCAAAACCUAAUUUAGCUGAUCUUGCCGUCUUUGGUGUGCUAAGGCCCAUUCGCUAUCUGAAGUCUGGUAAAGAUAUGGUGGAGCAUACACACAUUGGUGAAUGGUACUCUCGGAUGGAACAGGCAGUGGGAGAACCUGCCAGAAUUAAGGCAUGAAAUAACAUGAUGAUUUUGUUGGUUGAUCCAAAUUGCAAUGUGAUUCUGCCUUGAGGUAUAUGGAAAUUUAAUUAGACGAACAUGGACAACUUAUCAAAUUUCAUCAAGAAAAUUAUAUAAAGAAUUAAUUCUUGACUUGGAAAAUGAACUGUAUAACUCAAGAAUCAAGCCUAAUUAUGUUUUAUCAUUGAUAAUAAGCUUUUUCGGGGGAAUGGUCUUGGUGGUUCUUUUCUUCUUAUUUUAUAGGUUAGUUGGUGGUGUUGUGCAAUUCUUUUCACUACUAUUUUGUAGUAUAAAAAAUGUGUUUUUGAUGUGCAUGUUUAUGCCUGUGAUGGUUAAUACGAAAGCAAACAGUGAAACCGUAUGGGCAAAAUUAUCUAUGCACAUAGCUUGUAAUUUCCAACCUGAUGCUUUUAUACAAUGCAGUUGGAUAGGCUGGCCAAGGUAAUUAUUUGAAUCUUGCAAAUUUUUAAUUAGAUGCUGAAGUCUCUGAUUAUUUUAUACCAUGGAGUUGGAUUCAUCAUUGGAAGCUUCUAAAAAUUUAGUUACAUGCUACCAAUGCGUUGAAUAAGUAUAUGUGUGUACAUA